rnacentral:tRNA from 1 species
AUUUUUUUUUUAAAAGAUUAACAAAUUAGGCUUCUAACCUAAAAUUAAUGAAAAUUU